UCCUGGCUCAGGAUGAACGCUAGCUACAGGCUUAACACAUGCAAGUCGAGGGGCAGCGGGAUUGAAGCUUGCUUCAAUUGCCGGCGACCGGCGCACGGGUGAGUAACGCGUAUCCAACCUUCCGUACACUCAGGGAUAGCCUUUCGAAAGAAAAGAUUAAUACCUGAUGGUAUGAUGAGAUUGCAUGAUAGCAUCAUUAAAAGAUUUAUCGGUGUACGAUGGGGAUGCGUUCCAUUAGGUUGUUGGCGGGGUAACGGCCCACCAAGCCUUCGAUGGAUAGGGGUUCUGAGAGGAAGGUCCCCCACAUUGGAACUGAGACACGGUCCAAACUCCUACGGGAGGCAGCAGUGAGGAAUAUUGGUCAAUGGGCGAGAGCCUGAACCAGCCAAGUAGCGUGAAGGAUGACUGCCCUAUGGGUUGUAAACUUCUUUUAUAAAGGAAUAAAGUCGGGUAUGGAUACCCGUUUGCAUGUACUUUAUGAAUAAGGAUCGGCUAACUCCGUG
rnacentral:rRNA from 1 species